UAUGUGCCUUUCACAUAAAGACUAUGACACAUCUAAGCUAUUCAUGUACUAAUACCUGCCCUGAGCUGUGUGACCACAGACACCACCCUAUAAUGUGGCCAGUGUGUAGGAACUCUACAGGCUCAGAUCAUUCCAGACAUACAUGCAGAUGUUGGAACUCCCUUGCACAGUGACUCAUGAUCCCAAGGCUGAGUGCUGAGGGCAG
rnacentral:lncRNA from 1 species